rnacentral:tRNA from 1 species
GGGGGUGUGGUGUAGCCAGGCCUAUCAUCGGGGACUCCAGAUCCCUGGACCUGGGUUCAAAUCCCAGCACCCCCACCA